UGCUGUAUGAGGUGGAGUACUGGAGGAGGAGGUGCCUGGGGCUGCCCCUGGGCUUCAUGGAGACCCUGUCUGGCUUUCAGGAGGACUUGGCCCAUCUGGACAGUCCUUUGGGAUAGGGGUUCUGGGUUACAUGGGGGCAGAUCAAGGCUCUGGGUGGUUAUGGGUUCCUCCAGGAACACGUUGCUACAUCGAACCAUUAAAGGUUCCUCAAGAAGCGCUCAACUAACCGAAGGUGCAAAUAUGAACCAUUGAUUAGCAAUGUUUCCUUCAGGAACUCCAGGGCUUCCUUGAGUAGCCACGAAUUCUAAGAGUGUACUGCCUUCUCUCUCUCCUCUCCUCUCUCUUUACCUGAUGCAUAAGAAUCAUAGCCACCAGAAACACACCUUGUGUUGCUUUGCUGUAGUUUGACCGUGCAUGGUGAGAAUAUCCUGGAAAAUUUGGUGAAAGGUGCUGGAUGGCAGGCAGCUAGGUGUCUGUUUCUAAUUAGUGUAGCAAACGUUCUUUUGGAGUACUCCGGUUCUCUCUCUCUGAAAAAUAAUAAUUUCUCUCCCCCCUGCAUCUAUUUCCUCCUCCUUCUCUCUCCCAUCUAUCUCCCUCAUUAACAGUGAAAGAGAACCAUUAGGGGACCACCUAAUUCUACUACAUCCUUCCUCUUCUCCUUCCUCUUUUCCUCUCUCACUCCUAGCCCUGUUUUCCUCUUUAUGUAACACCCGUUCAUCCCUCUCUCUGAUCUGUCCGGUCUGUUUAAGAGGAGUGUGAAACGUGACUGACGGGCAAGAACUACAGAAUAAAGCCGCCAGUUAAAAUCAA